GCUGCUUUGCCUACGACCGCAUUUUGCCUCAUGGAUCUCCACGAUCCCAUUUCUUAAGUAUUGGAAUUUUCACUUAUGGAAUUUUCUAAAUUUCUAGCCAUUAUAUUUUUCUUAUACGUUUUAUCAAAGAACCUUUGCAAAUAAAAAAUUCUAAUAAUAAGAACGUAUGAAAAAUAUUCAAAUGGACUAGAAAAUAGAGAAAACCUUUUUAUGCGAGAGUCUUCUACGAGUAUGGAUUUCAACUCUCAAUGAAAGCCCCAAUUUGUGGAUGCAAAUUUUUGCCUUCUCCUUCUUUGACAAAAUUGCACCUACAAAACAAUCGACACCUUUGGUCAAGGCCAAGAGCCUCACGCGCCCACGAUGAAUGGGGGGGGGUUUGGCCGAAGAACUUUCGAUGCCAAAGUUAGAAUUUAGAGAGAAAAAGUGUUUAGAGAAUUUUUGGGAGUUUUGCAAGAGUGUGGACUUAGCUUUUUAGAAGAAAUGGGAUCCUAUAUAUAGGGAAUAAGGUGGCCGGCCCUUAGAGGAUUUUGUGUGAAAAUGGUGAUUAAUUUGGUGAUUAAUGGAUUAAUUAGAAUUAAUCUAAUUUGUAUGGAAGGUUUUGAAGGUUAUGGAAUGAGGAUGGAUGAGACAAAUUUGAACUUGUUACCUAUUUUGGGUGUUGGAAGUAUGCCCACAAAGCCACUCAUUUGAUGUAAUAGCUUUUGGAAUACUUAUUGUAUUAAACUUUUAU
rnacentral:lncRNA from 1 species